rnacentral:misc_RNA from 1 species
CGCACAUUGCGCCUCUCGGUAUUCCGGGAGGCACGCCUGUUCGAGCGCCAUUACACACUCCAAGCUCUGCUUGAUGUUGGACUGCGCGGCUCUCCGUCUGUGAGAGCUGCUGGUCUGGAACGCGUGGGCGUCCGGUCUGUCGAGAAACCGCGAGCGUAGCAAGACGCAAGUCAAUCGCUCGUCGGGUCUCCAGCGGAUGGCGCUGAGCUUCUUUCAUUCUCCCUGUGAGAAGGAAGGACAAACAUAACUGAGUUUGGCCUCGGAUCAGGCGGGGAUACCCGCUGAACUUAA